CUUGAUUCUACUUGAAGGAUGAAAAUUUUCUUCCAAUAAGAUGACUUUACCCUAUUUCUUGUGAAGUGAUCUUUCUUGAUCUGCUUUGUAUUUUAAACCAGGCUCACACCCCUUUAUUAACUGAAGCUGACUUAACCCGAACUAUCUGAAGCUGACUCAACCCGAACUAUCCGAGAUCACACGUAAAUGUUUUCCUUCUGAUCUCAACUUUUCUCCUUAUCGUGGGGCAUGGAAAGGAGGAGAUCGCAGCAGGGAAGUUUUUGUUCUUGUUCACAUGCUAACAAUGACUAUCGAUUUACAGCAAUGGAUUGGUCAAGGAAGGAUAAAGAAACU
rnacentral:lncRNA from 1 species